rnacentral:lncRNA from 1 species
UUGAUCUUCCUUUCAGCCGCCCUCCUAGGUGUACUACUGUUGUACCCCAAAAUUUUCUCUCCUUUUUCGCUUCUCAUCUGACUUAUGGAUUGAGACUCAUUCAUAUUUCAUUCAUGUGCAUCAUUCAUUCAUGAUUAACACUUGCUAACAGGCAUCAAAGAUUCAAGGUUUAUGGUUGGUAAAAACAAGGGAUUUGCUUGAAGAUUAUGGUAUUGCACACCUUAUCGGUUGAAACCCUAGUUCUUGACUUUGAUCCUAUAGGAUCUUGUGUUUGAC